ACCAAAAAGAAACACAGGACACACGGGCAUGUAUGCAUCGAAGGAGAGCCCGGGGUAUGGCCGCCGCCGCCGCCACGCGUGGAUGAUCUUCCUGUCCGGCCAUCGGCGUAGCCCACGCGGGCGAGCUGCAGAUUUGGAUGGGCUGCCUGGCCCACGCAGCGGACCGCGGUGGUUCGAGCAACUCCUCGACGCAGGGGAAAAGAUUGGCGGCGCUGGAGUUCGCCGGAAUGGGCAGGCGGCCGGUGGGUGACGCGAGGCCGCGGCGCCGGCGCGAGGAAGACGAGCGGAUCCGGGGCGGCGGCGACCGAUCCGGCUGCUGGUGCGGCGGCUUGCUCCGGUGGCGGCGGCGUCCUGCUCAUCCGUAGAAAGAGGGACAGGGCGUGAGGGAGAGAGGAAGAAAGGAGAGGGUGAAGGGGGCGCAGGGUCAGGGAGGUGGUCGGUAGCGGUGGCGGCUCCGGCGACCGGCCGGCGGGCUUGCCAGGCAAGGCUAAGGAGUACGCCAGCCUAAGAUUCGAUAGCGACUAGACAGCAGACCAAGGCCAUGGAUCGGUUGAUUCAACAGGGAAGGAAGAGACAGCAGGUUAUAAAACGAGCUUGGGGAUUAACUGGCCUGAAACUUAAACAGGGCCGCCCUGAUGAUGGACUCAAGCUCCAGAAUCAAGAUAUGCCACUGUAGAUGUUUUUUUAAAGGCAGCUAGCUACUUGGAUUGCGCAAAUCAACAAGUACUCCCGCAUAUAGCAUCAGAACUAAGGAGACAACUUCCAGUAGACCUGGCCAAUGGAAAUCUCAAUUCUCUUAGCCUGUAAGCUCAGCUCUCAAUCAGGUAUUCUAUUCGUAACUCAGCGUAUUUUUCUGAAGUUUUAGGCCUAACUCCCAAACAUCUUUUGUCAAGAGUAAGAAUGUAGCUGUUGAUGGUUGCUUGCUGAAGAAGAGUGGUAUCAAUAUUACCAUAGAAGUAGAUGUUUUUCGAAUUAUUCUUGAUUUUCUAUUAUGUUAAUAUAUCUCUGCUCUGUUUUUAAUUGGGAAUCCUUGCUCCUUGGGUCCCAGUAAAUUGUACAAAAGGUAAUUUAUCUGAAUUUUAUGGUCUUUUAGUUUGUUCCGAGCCUCUGAGUUUCCUCAGUUCUUCUGUACCUUUUAUUUGUUGGUUUACAUUUAUUGGAUGUUCCAAUGUUAUUCUAUGUUCAUAUGUGCAAUCGGAUUUACAAAACAACAAGCAAAGCAAUUUAUGAACAUUGCAUUUUCUAUUUUAUCAACGUUGCAUUUUCUUAGUUGUCGUUAGUUAGCAGAUGUGCUAGAACAACACACGCAUGUGUGCGAUUUUGCCCUGGCUUUCUGAUUUCUGAAUUGAAACGAGCAGGUGCAUGGGUUUCUUGAUAGAGUCAAGUAGCGGUGCUUUGAGCUUGAUGUCCCGUGACCCAGUUCCUUGAACUGGCUAACCCUUAUUGAUGUCGUAUAUCCUGAACUAACUCUCAUGACCAAGUCCUCAACACG